ACGCUGGCGGCAGGCCUAACACAUGCAAGUCGAGCGGAAACGAGUUAUCUGAACCUUCGGGGGACGAUAACGGCGUCGAGCGGCGGACGGGUGAGUAAUGCCUAGGAAAUUGCCCUGAUGUGGGGGAUAACCAUUGGAAACGAUGGCUAAUACCGCAUGAUGCCUACGGGCCAAAGAGGGGGACCUUCGGGCCUCUCGCGUCAGGAUAUGCCUAGGUGGGAUUAGCUAGUUGGUGAGGUAAGGGCUCACCAAGGCGACGAUCCCUAGCUGGUCUGAGAGGAUGAUCAGCCACACUGGAACUGAGACACGGUCCAGACUCCUACGGGAGGCAGCAGUGGGGAAUAUUGCACAAUGGGCGCAAGCCUGAUGCAGCCAUGCCGCGUGUAUGAAGAAGGCCUUCGGGUUGUAAAGUACUUUCAGCAGUGAGGAAGGUGGGUGUGUUAAUAGCACAUUCAUUUGACGUUAGCUGCAGAAGAAGCACCGGCUAACUCCGUGCCAGCAGCCGCGGUAAUACGGAGGGUGCGAGCGUUAAUCGGAAUUACUGGGCGUAAAGCGCAUGCAGGUGGUUUGUUAAGUCAGAUGUGAAAGCCCGGGGCUCAACCUCGGAAUAGCAUUUGAAACUGGCAGACUAGAGUACUGUAGAGGGGGGUAGAAUUUCAGGUGUAGCGGUGAAAUGCGUAGAGAUCUGAAGGAAUACCGGUGGCGAAGGCGGCCCCCUGGACAGAUACUGACACUCAGAUGCGAAAGCGUGGGGAGCAACCAGGAUAGAUACCCUGGUAGUCCACGCCGUAAACGAUGUCUACUUGGAGGUGUGGCCUUGAGCCGUGGCUUUCGGAGCUAACGCGUUAAGUAGACCGCCUGGGGAGUACGGUCGCAGAUUAAACUCAAUGAAUUGACGGGGCCC
rnacentral:rRNA from 1 species